rnacentral:rRNA from 1 species
ACGCACUCCUACGGGAGGCAGCAUGGGGGAAUAUUGCACAAUGGGCGCAAGCCUGAUGCAGCCAUGCCGCGUGUAUGAAGAAGGCCUUCGGGUUGUAAAGUACUUUCAGCAGUGAGGAAGGUGGGUAUGUUAAUAGCAUAUUCAUUUGACGUUAGCUGCAGAAGAAGCACCGGCUAACUCCGUGCCAGCAGCCGCGGUAAUACGGAGGGUGCGAGCGUUAAUCGGAAUUACUGGGCGUAAAGCGCAUGCAGGUGGUUUGUUAAGUCAGAUGUGAAAGCCCGGGGCUCAACCUCGGAAUUGCAUUUGAAACUGGCAAACUAGAGUACUGUAGAGGGGGUAGAAUUUCAGGUGUAGCGGUGAAAUGCGUAGAGAUCUGAAGGAAUACCGGUGGCGAAGGCGGCCCCCUGGACAGAUACUGACACUCAGAUGCGAAAGCGUGGGGAGCAAACAGGAUUAGAUACCCUGGUAG